AAUUAUAAUAUUUUCCUUAUUCAAAGGAAAUACAAUCAAAUUUAAUUUACCAAAUAUAAGCAAAUAAGCACCUGUCAAUUUAAUUAAAGCAACACAAAUCAAUUACCAGAAAUCAAUGCAUUAAAAUAAAAUCAAGCCAACGUGUGACGAUUGCCUUAAAGGAAAGAAAAAAUAAAUAUACAGCCCACAAUAAGUCAUAAUAGUGAUAAGCUAACAUAUUUAAUAUAUACUUGCUAUGCACAAUUAAGUAUAAAGUUAUUACCCGCAAUUUGCUCACAAUGAAGCCAACAUCAAACCUUUGAUAUCAAUACAAACAAAUCCAUUUAGAUAUAUUUUACAAUAUAUAACUUACGAAUUUAUAUACUCAAAGCACUAAACCCGAUAGAUAUAUAAUUGACACAAUAUUACCGAAUAACUUUAACUUCCUGCAAUAUACUUACCUUGUGACCUCCCAAUAUAGCUGUGAAUAUACCAAAUAGACCACCAAUGGUCAUAAACAAAAUUUAUUCAAGCUAAGUAAGGAAAUAGUCAAUCCAAAAUCUAGGAUGAUUAGAGGAAUCAAUUAGUAAUCCCAAAAUUACUAUACCAUGACGUGUUAGCCAUUACAAAUACCAUCCACAAAUUCAGUACUUUAAACGCACAUUAAGUCAUAAUUAAGCUAAUUAAGCAGAUUCAGGAACAAAUAAAAGGGAAACGGCAAACAUAAUCGAUGCACAAGCAUUAUGAGAUGAUUAGAAGUUUACGGUCAAAUUUUAAAACAAACUCAUGGAAUAAAUCAAUGGCCCUCAAAACAAUAGCAAGCUAAAACAAGUGCAGGUGAAUCAUGAGCAAAUUCAGUCAAUAUCGAUCAUUUAUAUAACUCAAACAAGAAACACAACAAUUCAUGCUUAAAUUAAGAUUGACAACUAAUUUGAUUUUUAAGUAAAUAUUCAUAAAAAUGGCAGAAACUCAAGGUCAAAUUUAAGCUAAUUAUUAGAAGACCGAUAAUAAUUAAACAAAGUCAAACCUAGACGGAUCUGUCGAGAUCCUUCUUGUGCAAAAUUUCAGAACUUCGAGGCUCGCCGGAGCUUGCUGCCUCGUUGGUUCGGAGCUGCUGCCUGCGAGGACUCGCCUGGCUGCUGGUCGGAGCAGGUGUUGUUGUUGCUCAUUGACCACGUUGAGCGGAGCUCGCUUGGCUGCUCGUUGCUGCUGGUCGAAGCUGGCUGGUUUUUCGCCGGCGUCGCUGGCAUCACGCUGCUGCUACCUUCGCUGGUGGCGUUCGUUGGCUCGUCCCUGCAGGAGAAAUAGCGAAGGGAAGGGACAGGGGAGAGAAAGAGGAGAAGAGAGGAGGGCUCGCCGGCGUUCGCUUCUCGCCGGAGAAGAGGAGAGAAGGACGAAGGGGAGGGGAGGCGGCGCUGUAGAGAGAAGAGAAGAAGAGAGUGAAUAAUGCUUUAGGGUUGGGUUCUUUUAGGUUAAAUUAGGAAAUAAGGGUAGGUUUGAUCUGGUCCGUCGAGUUAAUUCACGAUGAACGGUUAGGAUUUAUCUUAAAGGGUGGACGGAUGAGAUGAGAGUUGUAAUGGAUUUAGAAUGGCCAAAAUUGC
rnacentral:lncRNA from 1 species